GUCUGCAGUUUAUCACCACUGAAGGCAAGUAAUAGGGGAAUAAUAUCUAGUUCACAAGAGAAGAUUGGAUUAAGCUUUCCAGAACGUCUUGCGGGAGUUAUUUCCAUAUCACUUUCCUCUAGAGCCUUGGAAUGAAUAGCCCUAAAUAAAAGAUAGAUGCAAACAAAGAGCUGUGUUGCCUGGACUGCUGGUGAGCACCUGAGGAUCCCUGAUGUGCUGAAAGCAUGGUCUGUCCGAGAUUUCCCCAAUCUGCCGACUUCUCUAGUUGGGAUAAAGUAGGAGAAAAUGUAUUGUGGUUGAAAUGAAAACUGGCAGUUACAGCCUUCCCUUGGCAAGGAGGGCUAAGGUCCCUUCACCAACUCGGGCAGAAGGCAGAAAUCUUUCCUGGACCAUAAGAAUUCUAAUAACUCGAGGAUAAAAAGCAAUUCCCACUUAUACGGCUAAAAUUUCCAAUCAAGUCAUUAACACAGGCAGAAAGGAGACUCGGUAGAACAAUGUGUGUGGGACAGCAGAGGACUGCAGAAAUGAAGAUUCGUUUCUUCAGUGCAUAAUCUAUCCAUUAGAUUGGCUAACGUUAGCAUGGUAAUUCAUGUUAUUAGUGAUUUUAAUAAUGAUUUUUUUAUCUAUCAGUCUGUCAAUUGACAACAGGUUCUCUGAAGGACGCAGGUGAUGGUAGGUUGCCUGUUGUAGGAGGUGCAUUAGGAGUAAGUCAGCAAAUGGAUUCCUACUCGGAAAACUCAAUUAAUUUCCUAAGAUGAAGUUCUGAUCUUUGAUCUCUCGCAGUUUUGAUGAACAUCGGCAGUAUUAGAAUUGCAGGUGCAGACAUCCAGAACAAUCUAUUAAGUUAACAGUCAGUGAGAGUUGGGUUAUAAUAAUCACAGCAUGAAAGCUACAUUUUUUCAGAGAUAGAACUCGAAGGGACGGAGGCUGGAGGAAGUGCAGAGAUGUGUUAGUUGAAAAGCCUUACUCUUGAAUUCUGAUUAGCUAAGCAGGAGAGUAAAAUGCUGCUCAGAUAGGCAAGUCGUAACCAGUGUAGCAAGGCUAUUAUUCUUGCUUAACUUUUGACUAUCUCCGACCAACGCCAUGCCUCCAGAACUUCGUUGGUGCUCCCUAAAUUCUCAAUGCAAUCCCUCAGUGCUGCUCCUUUCACGAGUGUGGAAAGGGAAGGGCCAUCCCCAGCGGACCCCAGCGCUGAGAAAUCCUGUGUCUGACUUGGAACGUGGUGCACUGCUUUAUCUGCUAAAUAAAAUCUAAAUGAUAAAUGCUGAUAUAUUAAUGAAAUGUAAGUUUGGGGAUUUCACAUAAGAAAGCUGCUGUCAUUGCUUUAAUUUAUAUGGGGACAGUUAUGUGCAGAUGGUAUAGACAGAGUUAUUUCCUGACUGUCAUCCAAAGUAAGUUGAUUUGUGGUUUAAUGACUUUUAUCAAAAUGAAAUAAGCAUUUGAUCUUUGGAUUUGAUCUGGCUAUAUCUGCAGCUGCUACACCGCUACAGCAAUUACUUCCAAACUGGGCUUUUUGCCCAGGCAAAUGGAGUUCGUCCUUGUUUCAUGUCUCAUUGACUGUCCUGAUAAUACAUACUGUUCUGCUGUAGGUUUCUUCUUCCUCCAAAUUUGAUAGGUGUGAAAACUUAAGUAGUAAGUCUUUUAUUUAUUUCUUUAUUUUAUUAUUGAUGUUGUCCAGUAGUAAAGCCUCCACUACCACUAGUUAAUUUCAUCUUGAAGCUGCUCCUAGCUAUAAUUUAGUAUAUGGAUGUGUAAUUCCCUCUACGUAAUCCUGCUAUGUCCUUUUUACAGAGGAACAAGAAAUGUAUUUAUGAAUUCUAAAUCUAGCAAUUCCAGUGGUAAUCUUCACAUCUGCCUGUAUGUUUUCAGGAAGAAAUUGCUCUACCAUGUUGUCUACCCAUACUGGACUAAAUCCACUCCUAAUGCAGUUCCUUUGAAGGCAGCAGACUUAUACUAGGAAUAAAUUUACCUCCUUUCAC
rnacentral:lncRNA from 7 species